rnacentral:rRNA from 1 species
UACGGGGGGGGGGCAAGCGUUGUCCGGAAUUAUUGGGCGUAAAGAGCUCGUAGGUGGCUUGUCACGUCGGAUGUGAAAGCCCGGGGCUUAACCCCCGGGUCUGCAUUCGAUACGGGCUAGCUAGAGUGUGGUAGGGGAGAUCGGAAUUCCUGGUGUAGCGGUGAAAUGCGCAGAUAUCAGGAGGAACACCGGUGGCGAAGGCGGAUCUCUGGGCCAUUACUGACGCUGAGGAGCGAAAGCGUGGGGAGCGAACAGG